UGCCAAAAUUUUACUUUGAAUAUGUCAAAUUUCUGUUCCAAGUACGCUACAGGGUAAUUUAUGUGGGAACUAUUGAGGAAAAAUACAUUGGCAUCUAAUGUUAAGUAUUACAAAAGAAAACCCUGAAAGUCUAAAUUUAGAUGAAAUAAAAAUCUAAAAUGCACCAAAAGAAAUCUGAAAAGGAUACGAAGGACAACAAUAUUAGAGCCUUUGUCGUAAGUGAUAACUUGCCCUUCUAAAUCUUCGCCUAGUAUUGUUUUAAUGGACAGCCAGCAUCUGGUUUGGUAUUCACCAUUCCCAGGUGACUGCAUGCUCACAACCUUAAUUUUCUUGUACACGCUAGAGUUAAAGCAAAGAAUGAAUUCAUUUGUUAAUUCUUUUUGUAUAGAUUGGAUUGAAACCCAAAAGAAAAAAAACUAAAGCUCCCAUUUUGUAACUUUUUAAUGGCUGCCAAAAUUUGGCUCCGAAUAUGCCAAAUUUUGGCGCCAAGUACACUACAUGGUAGCUCGUGUGGUAACUGUUUGCCAAAAUGUCCUAUGGAGCUUUUGUGAAAGAAGAUGAACAAAAAUAAAAAUCUGAAAAGAGAACUACUUUAAUCAAACACUUGAGCUAUACAUGUGGCAUAAACGCUUGGGCAUAUAGAUAAGGCAACCUAGAGAAUGGCCAAAACCAGACUCAAAUAUUCGAUAGAUUUUUAAGAGAGAUAUUCAUUUGAACGCACAUGGUGAAUCUGACUUGGUUACAGAGUGAUCAUGAAGGUCAAUUAAUGUGUGCCAAAGUUCUAUAAAAUUGUUAGAAAAUAAGAGAAGGUUCUGGAUUUCCUUUGGUUGGUACAAUAGGUGAAAUAGCCUAGUAAAGUUUCCAAUGAAGGUCAAUUCAUGUGUGCCAAGUUGUAGAAAACUGUUAGAAAAGAAGAGAAGGUUCUGGAUUUCCUUGGUUGGUACAAAAGGUGAAAUAGCCUAGUAAAGUUUCCAUUUUCCACAUUCAUUCAAAGAGAUAAUCUUUUUGGUGGAACACGUACACGGCAAACUGAGUGGAGUGGACAGAUGAUGUAAAAAAAGCCAUGCGGUGGCAUGAUGCAUUCCCAAAACAUUCUAUGGCAUGAUAGACACACGAGGUACUCAGAAACGUUAGCAGGCUGUCGGAAACGGAGAAGUAGACUGCUCCCAAAAGUUGCUGACCGGAUGGCCAAUUAAACUACGCCAGAAAGUGUCAAUGAGAAACCCUGACUGUUGGGAUGUUUGAAAAGUCUAUUUGUGUUUUUGAGAUCCAAAUUAAAUAUAAAGGUCAGUAUCAGUUUAGCAUUUCAUUCUGACUGUGAAGAAGAGUAAUCUGGCAGAUGGUAGGAGGUAGAGCGGGUAGGUAGAGUGCAGUAGAGGGCAUCAUGCAAGGUAACAAAGGAUCGACCGUUGUAUUUUUAGGGAGACAUACAUAAUUUGGCUUCUGUCUUGAGCGACAGUUUAUUUUGCUUGCAAUGUUGUCUGGAUUUUUGAAUUUGUAGAGAGAAGGUGAUGCGGGUGGCUUCAUUUGGACGGAGAGGAGGGUGUGUGGAGGGCGACAACAGAAACCCUUUGAGGUGCUUCUAAAAAGGAGACAGAAAAACACGCGUUUUUCUAAGAAUGGAUGUUGUUUUGCCAGGGCACGAUGUGUUUUUAAGAAUGGAUGUUGUUUUUUCCGGGCACACUGUGUUUUUAAGCAUCGAUGUUUUUAUCCCAGGGCAAAUUAUGCUUUUAAGCAGUGGAUGUUGCUUUGCCAGGGCACGUUGUGUUUUUAAGCAUGGAUGAUGUUUCGCGGCAGUUAUUUUUGCGAUUCCAUAGGUUUUCCUUGUUCCGUUGUAACUUUGUCAAUAAUUUUAAUUUCAUCCGUUAUUGUGGGCUUGCAAAGUAUUCACACAAAGAAUUUGUAUAGCUAUCAAUUUCUGUGAUGCAGCCCUUGUUAGCAAAACACAAUUAUCUAUGUGGUAGGGUUGAUUAUACACGUCUAAAUUUCUUAUUUAAUCUUAAAUUAAUUUGCAGA